rnacentral:lncRNA from 1 species
GGAGAUUCUCUGUGAUGUCGCUGAACUGAAGCAAGAGCUGCAAUGUCUGCGCAGGCGGCAUGAGGAAGUGGUCACCCACAAGUCCCUCGUCCAUCAGGAGAGAGAGCUUGUUGCAGCGGACGUGGAUGCGGUGACUGCCGAAUGCCUCGCGCUUAGGGACCAGGUGGCUGUCUACGAGGGGCGGCUCGCCGCCCUGCAGAAAGCGCAAGAAACGAGGGUUCAGAGCCUGGUGGCUCCAGCGUCUCCAGCUGCCGUAUCCCUGGUGACCCCGGAGUUUCUCAGCCCCGAUGUCACCCCUGUCAUCCAGGAGAUCAAGGAGUACUACUGUGAGCUGGCGGAGAGCCUUCAGUUUGAAUCAAAGGCAGCGGUUGCAACUGCACCGGAGGACCCCAGGAAGAAGGAGCACGGUCCGGCCGAGGUCUCCACAGCUAAGUUGAUGGAUGUUGCUAAGGUGACAGACCCCGAUGAACUGAGGAAACGGAUUGCAGAGCUGCGCAGGGAGCUGGCCGAGCUGGAGAAGUGCGGUGGGGAACUGGAGGACCAGAUCGAGUCAAGGAGAGCGGCGCACC